CCUGGUGGUUAUAGCGAAGGCAUUACACCCGAUCCCAUCCCGAACUCGGCCGUGAAAACCUUCAGCGCCAAUGGUACUGCGUCUUAAGGCGUGGGAGAGUAGGUCACUGCCAGGU
rfam:Candidatus Endolissoclinum faulkneri L2, complete genome.